AAACGCGAAGAACCUUACCUACCUGACAUCCUCAGAACUGUUAGAGAUAACUUGGUGCCUUCGGGAACUGAGUGACAGGUGCUGCAUGGCCUGUCGUCAGCUCGUGUCGUGAGAUGUUGGGUUAAGUCCCGUAACGAGCGCAACCCUUGUCCUAGUUGCCAUCAUUUAGUUGGGAACUCUAGGGAGACUGCCGGUGACAAACCGGAGGAAGGUGGGGAUGACGUCAAGUCAUCAUGGCCCUUACGGGUAGGGCUACACACGUGCUACAAUGGCCGGUACAGAGGGCCGCAAACCCGCGAGGGGGAGCAAAUCUCACAAAACCGGUCGUAGUCCGGAUUGGAGUCCACUGACUCCAUGAAGUCGGAUCGCUAGUAAUCGCNAUCANAGUGUCGCGGUAAU
rnacentral:rRNA from 1 species